rnacentral:lncRNA from 1 species
CUGCAGCACAAGCAGCGUUUGAAUCAGCAGCUUAUGCAGCUGCUGCUGCAAGAGCAGCUGUGGAACUGUCCCGAUCUGACUCACAUGAUCCCGAUGAUCUAAAUAAUACAAAACUGCAGCCAAGAGUCAUGUCAAGAACUCGUCAGUCAUUUAAAUCCAAUUCCCAAACUGGAGAAGAAAAAGAAAUUGAUGAAGAGAAAGUAGGAAUGGCAUUUGAGAAAAUCCACCCUGCUCAACACUAUUCUUCCGAGUCUGAGGGCGAAAAGAUUAUAGCAGAAAACUUCAAACAACGCAAGAAUGAAGGGGAGAUUAAAAGGUCAUUGUCUACAUCGAGCUCAGAAUCAUUUGAUAACAACUUCAGUGGAACUAGAACAUAUUGCGAUGAUGAGCUUCUGAUGAAGCUAGAGGAAAAGGAGAUAGUUUUUGAUGAAAGUGAUGAUGAGACUAAGGAGAAAAGCAGAACAUUUUUGUCAAGAACCAAAGAUUUAGGUUUAGAAGAUAAGCAAACUUCGCAAAGGAAGAAGAUUCCGGAUUCUGAACAAAGGUAUUCUAUUAAAGGAGAUAUCAACGAAGACGACUUCGGAUUACCUUCCUCUCCAGCUCACAAGCACUUUUCUUUAAGAUCUCACGCUGGCCUCAAGAAGGAAAAAGCGACAGAGAAGUUCAUCAGCUCUCGUGCAGACCACUUGAAUAUGGAGAAGAGGCCAAUUUCUGUCAGAACUAAAAGGACGUAUGGUCGGUGACAAGCUGAUGGAGAUAGCAGAUACUGCCAGAGCACUAAGUAUUGUGAAUUG